ACUCUAAUAGUUUAGAUAAAACAUUGGUCUUGUAAACCAAAGAUUGAAGGCUAAACACCUUCUUAGAGUU
rnacentral:tRNA from 1 species